rnacentral:rRNA from 1 species
CCUACGGGGCUGCAGUGGGGAAUAUUGGACAAUGGGCGAAAGCCUGAUCCAGCCAUGCCGCGUGUGUGAAGAAGGCCUUCGGGUUGUAAAGCACUUUCAGUGGGGAAGAAAGCCUUGGGGCUAAUACCCUCGAGGAAGGACAUCACCCACAGAAGAAGCACCGGCUAACUCCGUGCCAGCAGCCGCGGUAAUACGGAGGGUGCGAGCGUUAAUCGGAAUUACUGGGCGUAAAGCGCGCGUAGGCGGUCUGAUAAGCCGGUUGUGAAAGCCCCGGGCUCAACCUGGGAACGGCAUCCGGAACUGUCAGGCUAGAGUGCAGGAGAGGAGGGUAGAAUUCCCGGUGUAGCGGUGAAAUGCGUAGAGAUCGGGAGGAAUACCAGUGGCGAAGGCGGCCUUCUGGACUGACACUGACGCUGAGGUGCGAAAGCGUGGGUAGCAAACAGGAUUAGAUACCCCAGUAGUC